rnacentral:rRNA from 1 species
GGACUACCAGGGUAUCUAAUCCUGUUUGAUCCCCACGCUUUCGUGUAUGAGUGUCAAUAUUGGACCAGGUCGCCGCCUUCGCCGCCGGUGUUCCUCCUGAUAUCUACGUAUUUCACCACUACACCAGGAAUUCCACGACCCUCUUCCAUAUUCAAGUUUUGCAGUUUUAAAUGCACUUCCCGAGUUAAGCCCGGGGCUUUCACAUCUAACUUGCAAAGCCACCUGCACACGCUUUACGCCCAAUGAUUCCGAACAACGCUUGGACCCCCCGUCUUACCGCGGCGGCUGGCAC